rnacentral:rRNA from 3 species
GAAGGUGGCCUGUGAGGGUUGCUGGAGGUAUCAGAAGUGCGAAUGCUGACAUAAGUAACGAUAAAGCGGGUGAAAAGCCCGCUCGCCGGAAGACCAAGGGUUCCUGUCCAACGUUAAUCGGGGCAGGGUGAGUCGACCCCUAAGGCGAGGCCGAAAGGCGUAGUCGAUGGGAAACGGGUUAAUAUUCCCGUACUUGGUGUUACUGCGAAGGGGGGACGGAGAAGGCUAUGUUGGCCGGGCGACGGUUGUCCCGGUUUAAGCGUGUAGGUGUGUGUUCCAGGUAAAUCCGGUUCACUUUAACACUGAGGCGUGAUGACGAGGCACUACGGUGCUGAAGCAACAAAUGCCCUGCUUCCAGGAAAAGCCUCUAAGCAUCAGGUAACAUCAAAUCGUACCCCAAACCGACACAGGUGGUCAGGUAGAGAAUACCAAGGCGCUUGAGAGAACUCGGGUGAAGGAACUAGGCAAAAUGGUGCCGUAACUUCGGGAGAAGGCACGCUGACA